rnacentral:lncRNA from 1 species
CGAACCUGCGGGGAUGAACGCUUCGUACGGCUGCGAACGGGGGCCGCUCCGCCCUGGAGCCCCGAGCUGCUGCAGCGGGGUCACGGCCUUCGUGCUCGAUGCGAUCGCGGCAGAGCUGGCUGGAGGUGCUUCCCAGGCCACAGUAAGUGUGCUGUACAAAUGUCAGUGUGCCAGUCCUGUGUGCUCGCUGUGACGCGCUGCCUUGCAGUGGGACAUCUCUCCAGGGGAAAGCCCAGUGUGAUCCUUCCCUGCCAUACCAAGAGAACUGCAAUCCCUCGUCUCCUCAGCCUUUGUGCCCACUUACAUUGUUUGCUUUGAAUGUCUGGAGCCAUCUUGAAACUGAAUCCCUACAAACUGUUCAGAAUGGAAGUGCUGCUCAUUCCAAG